rnacentral:rRNA from 1 species
CCUACGGGAGGCAGCAGUGGGGAAUAUUGCGCAAUGGGCGAAAGCCUGACGCAGCGACGCCGCGUGAGGGAUGAAGGUCUUCGGAUCGUAAACCUCUGUCAGCAGGGAAGAACGGUCACUGUGCUAAUCAGCAGUGAAUUGACGGUACCUGCAAAGGAAGCACCGGCUAACUCCGAGCCAGCAGCCGCGGUAAUACGGAGGGUGCGAGCGUUAAUCGGAAUUACUGGGCGUAAAGCGCUCGUAGGCGGUAUGUCAAGUCAAGGGUGAAAUCCCCGCGCUCAACGUGGGAACUGCCUUUGAAACGGGCAAACUGGAGUGUGUGAGAGGAUAGUGGAAUUCCAGGUGUAGGAGUGAAAGCCGUAGAUAUCUGGAGGAACAUCAGUGGCGAAGGCGACUAUCUGGCACAUAACUGACGCUGAGGAGCGAAAGCGUGGGUAGCAAACAGGAUUAGAUACCCGAGUAGUC